UUGAACGCUGGCGGCAGGCCUAACACAUGCAAGUCGAGCGGUUGAGAGUAGCUUGCUACUUGAUGCAGCGGCGGACGGGUGAGUAACGCGUGGGAAUCUGCCCAGUAGUGGGGGACAACAGCCGGAAACGGCUGCUAAUACCGCAUACGCCCUACGGGGGAAAGGGGGGGAUCUUCGGACCUCUCGCUAUUGGAUGCGCCCGCGUCGGAUUAGCUAGUUGGUAGGGUAAAGGCCUACCAAGGCUACGAUCCGUAACUGGUCUGAGAGGAUGAUCAGUCACACUGGAACUGAGACACGGUCCAGACUCCUACGGGAGGCAGCAGUGGGGAAUAUUGGACAAUGGGGGAAACCCUGAUCCAGCCAUGCCGCGUGUGUGAAGAAGGCCUUAGGGUUGUAAAGCACUUUCAGUGGGGAGAAAGGUUUGUCACCUAAUACGUGAUGAAAUUGAUGUCACCCACAGAAGAAGCACCGGCUAACUCCGUGCCAGCAGCCGCCGUAA
rnacentral:rRNA from 1 species